AGGUCAAGCUACAAAGGGCGCAUGGUGAAUGCCUUGGCACUAGGAGCCGAAGAAGGACGCGAUAAGCUGCGAUAAGCCUUGGGUAGCCGCAAAUAGGCU
rnacentral:rRNA from 1 species